rnacentral:rRNA from 1 species
CCUACGGGCGGCAGCAGUGGGGAAUAUUGGACAAUGGGCGAAAGCCUGAUCCAGCCAUGCCGCGUGUGUGAAGAAGGCCUUCGGGUUGUAAAGCACUUUCAGUGGGGAAGAAAGCCUUGGGGCUAAUACCCUCGAGGAAGGACAUCACCCACAGAAGAAGCACCGGCUAACUCCGUGCCAGCAGCCGCGGUAAUACGGAGGGUGCGAGCGUUAAUCGGAAUUACUGGGCGUAAAGCGCGCGUAGGCGGUCUGAUAAGCCGGUUGUGAAAGCCCCGGGCUCAACCUGGGAACGGCAUCCGGAACUGUCAGGCUAGAGUGCAGGAGAGGAAGGUAGAAUUCCCGGUGUAGCGGUGAAAUGCGUAGAGAUCGGGAGGAAUACCAGUGGCGAAGGCGGCCUUCUGGACUGACACUGACGCUGAGGUGCGAAAGCGUGGGUAGCAAACAGGAUUAAUACCCUUGUAGUC